AUUCUACCCAACCCCGAAUUCUUUCUCCUCGAAAUAUUGCUGCUGCGUCCAACCCUAAACUCCUCCACCGAAUGUCUCUGCCCAACCCCUCUCCGGCGAACUCCUCUCCACUGAAUGCUUGUCCGACGAAUCCCUCUCUGUCAAAUCCUUCUUUGUCGAAUCCCUCUCUGCCGAAUCUCAGGAUUUCAUUGACAAGGCACACAAGAAGACCAAAGCCCAGAGUUCCCUCGUAUCCUCGACAUUGAUAUCCAGGCUCGGCCCCGACUCGGAGGCGUACGCCAUUGAGCCCGCAUCCGACGAAUCUCAUGAGCCUAACGCCGCCGCAUGCGAAUCUCUAGUCCGAGGAUGCCACUUCACCUCCCCCACCGCCGUAGACGGGUCUUCUGAAUUCCAACGUUCGCUGCAGACAGGACUCCCCUUUUCGUGCGAAAGCUAGAGGGAAAAGGUCAUUCAAGAUCAUGUUUUGGGAUAAAAUCGAGAAAACUACAGGUGAGGGAGACACGUUGCUUGUCCAACUGAUUCUUUGCUUUGCGUUCGACAGUUUGGGUCAGAAUCUUCAAAUGUUUAAUCGGGGGUUCCAAGGGAGCAACUCGAAGAACUUCGAUCAUCUAGCACCUUUAGAAGAGUCUGAUUACUUGAAAAUAAUAAAGGGAUUAGUUAAUGGAAAGAAAUCAUAUUUUGAUGGAUUUCUUUCGAAACUGAGUUUUGCAAGGGUUGGAGGCGUAUCUACUACUUUGGCGGAGGAUGCACCAUCGGUCAAAGAAAACAGUGAGAAUCAUGACAGUGGUGAUGAUAAGGAGGGGCCUACAACUAGCACUCUUUAGUUACACUGACGAUCCUGACAAGAAGAAAUUGUUUUCAGUGCAAGACUUCUUCAGUUACACUUAGACAGAAGCGAAGGAACUUAUUUACAGAGAGAGGCUGCUUGUUGGGAAAUGCCCAUUAACUCCGGAAGAGGUAUUGAUUAGUUAGUUCAACUUGUUCAUCAAAACAGUGGAUUGCAUUCUUAAUUUUCCAUUAUAGUUGGCGAUUUGCAGAUAGGAAGAAAUAUACAUUUUAUCACCUGCAUUUGCAAAAUGCAAAUUCCGUUUAUCGCUAGCUACCAUUGUGGUCUAGCUAUCAAUCCACAUCUUUCUUCAAACAAAAUUUUAUUUGCCUGCUUACUUCAUUCUAUUGCAAGUUGUUGACAAUACAUUGGUUUCUCCCAAUUGUAUAGGAUUUAUAUCAUUCUUUAUCUUAUUUAUGCCAGACUAUGGAAUAUUCUCUGGAGUCAACUUCAACUCUACCUCCUUUCCACCUAUUGGAAUGCAAGUUCCUAUUGUUUAUGAAUUUGUGUUCAUGGACAGAUGGAUGUUGAGCCACAUAGCACUAAUUAUGUCUUUGUAUCUGUAAUAAUAAAUAUCUUUGUAAUUUGGUGAGGCCAUAUUUUUCUAAUGCUUAUUUUUUUUAUCAUUACCUUUUGUUUUUAUGACUUUAUCUUGCUGUGUAGGGAGUCAAGGCAGGCGAGGGAGGUGAACUUCCAGGCCACUAAGUUAUUGAUGAUAUUGCUGUCAUAAGAAAUUUCACUGCUGGUGUUGGUCUUAUUAGUCCUCCAUCACACCAUGAUAUAUACUGGAUUGAAGAUCUUGUGCAGCUUAUUUUUGACCUUAAGAACUCAAAUCCUGGUGCCAGAAUCAGUGUUAAGCUAGUCUUUGAGGCUGGUGUUGGUGUAGUUGCCAGUGGUGUUGUAAAAGGGCAUGCCAACCAUGUUUUGAUAUCAUUCAGAAGCAAGAUCAUGGACUGAAGCUUAUCUCUUCAUCAAAGGCUGCUCUUGAAAAAGGCUUGCCUGUUUAUAUUGAGACACCAGUUUACAAUUUAAACCGUGCUAUUGCUAUAUAUGGUAUUAUAAUUUGUGUAUGGUAUUAUAAUUUGCAUAUGGUAUUAUAAUUGUAUGUGGUAUAUGU